CGACGAGGUUGAUAGACCGGGAGUGCAAGCAUGGCGACAUGUUCAGCGGACCGGCACUAAUAGGUCGAGGACUUGACCGA
rnacentral:rRNA from 1 species